rnacentral:sRNA from 1 species
CUUGAAUCUGCUCCUGGUUUGGGAAUGUUUGUGACUAUUACAACUUACAAUGAUGAGCGGAUCCACUUAGAUAUUCGAGUUGGCGAACACGACCUUGAUGCGGCCAUUGCUCAAGCAAAGGACAAAGUUAAUGAACUUACCUUCAAGCUUGAACAUCUAAUUGAACAAAUUGAGCAAAUAAUCAAAGAACAAAAUUAUCAAAGG